rnacentral:rRNA from 1 species
UACGAAGGGUGCAAGCGUUACUCGGAAUUACUGGGCGUAAAGCGUGCGUAGGUGGUUUGUUAAGUCUGAUGUGAAAGCCCUGGGCUCAACCUGGGAAUUGCAUUGGAUACUGGCAGGCUAGAGUGCGGUAGAGGAUGGCGGAAUUCCCGGUGUAGCAGUGAAAUGCGUAGAGAUCGGGAGGAACAUCUAUGGCGAAGGCAGCCAUCUGGGCCAGCACUGACGCUGAGGCACGAAAGCGUGGGGAGCAAACAGG